AGAGCAAUCUGCCCUUCUCUUCGGAAUAAGCGUUGGAAACGACGUCUAAUGCCGAAUACGACCUCCUUUCGCAUGAUCGGAGGUGGAAAGCUCCGGCGGAGAAGGAUGAGCUCGCGGCCUAUCAGCUAGUUGGUGAGGUAAUAGCUCACCAAGGCGAUGACGGGUAGCCGGCCUGAGAGGGUGACCGGCCACACUGGGACUGAGACACGGCCCAGACUCCUAGGAGG
rnacentral:rRNA from 1 species